AAGACUCUCGGCAACGGAUAUCUCGGCUCUUGCAUCGAUGAAGAACGUAGCGAAAUGCGAUACUUAGUGUGAAUUGCAGAAUCCCGUGAACCAUCGAGUCUUUGAACGCAAGUUGCGCCCGAAGCCAUUAGGCUGAGGGCACGCCUGCCUGGGUGUC
rnacentral:rRNA from 1 species